UAAACGACUCUCGGCAACGGAUAUCUCGGCUCUCGCAUCGAUGAAGAACGNAGCGAAAUGCGAUACUUGGUGUGAAUUGCAGAAUCCCGUGAACCAUCGAGUCUUUGAACGCAAGUUGCGCCCGAAGCCGUCAGGCCGAGGGCACGUCUGCCUGGGCGUCACGC
rnacentral:rRNA from 1 species